AGGAGCCCCAGCCUCAGGAUCCCCAGGUGACCCCCUUCAGGGAUCAGGAGAGAACAGAGACAACUCACCAUGGAGUCUGUGCUCUGCUGGGUUUUCCUUGUCACUAUUUUAAAAGGUAUCCAGGGUGAAGUGCAGCUGGUGGAGUCUGGGGGAGACCUGGUGAAACCUGGGGGAUCCCUGAGACUCUCCUGUGUGGCCUCUGGAUUCACCUUCAAUAGCUACGACAUGAGCUGGGUCCACCAGGUUCGAGGGAAGAGGCUGCAGUGGGUCGCAUACUUUAGCAGUGAUGGAAAUAGCACAAGCUCUGCAGACGCUGUGAAGGGCCGAUUCACCAUCUCCAGAGACAAUGCCAAGAACACGCUCUAUCUGCAGAUGAACAGCCUGAGAGCUGAGGACACGGCAGUGUAUUACUGUGCGAAGGACACAAUGAGGUGACCUCAGUGACAGCCCAGACACAAACAUCCCUGUAAAAGUGGAUCAGGACCAUCAGGGGGUGAGCACUCCUCACCACUUCAGUCUUGAAGGCCCAGGAGCAGGUGCAGAGGGAGGUAUGGGCACGUUUCCUGUCAGGGUCUGGGCCUUCCUCUCCAAGGAGCAGUUUCCCCCAGGGAAUCUCUCUGGGCAAAGGAUUCUGUACUUACA